GACGAACGCUGGCGGCGUGCUUAACACAUGCAAGUCGAACGGAAAGGCCCUGCUUUUGUGGGAUGCUCGAGUGGCGAACGGGUGAGUAACACGUGAGUAACCUGCCCUUGACUUUGGGAUAACUUCAGGCAACUGGGGCUAAUACCGGAUAGGAGCUCCUGCUGCAUGGUGGGGGUUGGAAAGUUUCGGCGGUUGGGGAUGGACUCGCGGCUUAUCAGCUUGUUGGUGGGGUAGUGGCUUACCAAGGCUUUGACGGGUAGCCGGCCUGAGAGGGUGACCGGCCACAUUGGGACUGAGAUACGGCCCAGACUCCUACGGGAGGCAGCAGUGGGGAAUAUUGCACAAUGGGCGGAAGCCUGAUGCAGCAACGCCGCGUGCGGGAUGACGGCCUUCGGGUUGUAAACCGCUUUCGCCUGUGACGAAGCGUGAGUGACGGUAAUAGGUAAAGAAGCACCGGCUAACUACGUG
rnacentral:rRNA from 1 species